AGAGGAGAAGAAUUGAUGCUGCUGAAGGGCAGAUGAGAUGUGCUGCUGAUGGCAGGAGUUGUCGGUGCUGAUUGUGGGCCGCCCGCUUGCCCAGCAACAUGUUGGAGUGGUGUAGUAGGUUGUCCUAUUGUUAUAUACAAAUAAGGGGACUGCACUUUGUCUCUUGGCUGCAAUGGUGUGGAAAUGACAGUGCAGAGACAGGGAACCC